GCGGAGGGAUCAUUACUGAGUUUACGCUCUAUAACCCUUUGUGAACAUACCUAUAACUGUUGCUUCGGCGGGUAGGGUCUCCGUGACCCUCCCGGCCUCCCGCCCCCGGGCGGGUCGGCGCCCGCCGGAGGAUAACCAAACUCUGAUUUAACGACGUUUCUUCUGAGUGGUACAAGCAAAUAAUCAAAACUUUUAACAACGGAUCUCUUGGUUCUGGCAUCGAUGAAGAACGCAGCGAAAUGCGAUAAGUAAUGUGAAUUGCAGAAUUCAGUGAAUCAUCGAAUCUUUGAACGCACAUUGCGCCCGCCAGCAUUCUGGCGGGCAUGCCUGUUCGAGCGUCAUUUCAACCCUCAAGCUCUGCUUGGUGUUGGGGCCCUACAGCUGAUGUAGGCCCUCAAAGGUAGUGGCGGACCCUCCCGGAGCCUCCUUUGCGUAGUAACUUUACGUCUCGCACUGGGAUCCGGAGGGACUCUUGCCGUAAAACCCCCAAUUUUCCAAAGGUUGACCUCGGAUCAGGUAGGAAUACCCGCUGAACUUAAGCAUAUCAAUAAGCGGAGGAAAAGAAACCAACAGGGAUUGCCUCAGUAACGGCGAGUGAAGCGGCAACAGCUCAAAUUUGAAAUCUGGCCCUAGGCCCGAGUUGUAAUUUGCAGAGGAUGCUUUUGGUGCGGUGCCUUCCAAGUUCCCUAGAACGGGACGCCAGAGAGGGUGAGAGCCCCGUACAGUUGGACACCAAGCCUUUGUAAAGCUCCUUCGACGAGUCGAGUAGUUUGGGAAUGCUGCUCAAAA
rnacentral:rRNA from 1 species